CCUACGGGAGGCAGCAGUGAGGAAUAUUGGUCAAUGGACGAGAGUCUGAACCAGCCAAGUCGCGUGAAGGAUGACUGCCCUAUGGGUUGUAAACUUCUUUUAUAUGGGAAUAAAACGUUCCACGUGUGGGAUUUUGUAUGUACCAUAUGAAUAAGGAUCGGCUAACUCCGUGCCAGCCGCCGCGGUAAUACGGAGGAUCCGAGCGUUAUCCGGAUUUAUUGGGGUUAACGGGAGCGUAGGUGGAUUGUUAAGUUAGUUGUGAAAGUUUGCGGCUCAACCGUAAGAUUGCAGUUGAAACUGGCAGUCGUGAGUACAGUAGAGGUAGGCGGAAUUCGUGGUGUAGCGGUGAAAUGCUUAGAUAUCACGAAGAACUCCGAUUGCGAAGGCAGUUCACUGGACUGCAACUGACACUGAGGCUCGAAAGUGUGGGUAUCAAACAGGAUUAGAUACCCGAGUAGUC
rnacentral:rRNA from 1 species